rnacentral:rRNA from 15 species
CACGACAAAUUAAAAGAAAAUAAAAAUAAAAAUAAAAAUGAAAAAAAUAAAUC